AUUAAAUUUUAGGUUAAUAUGUAAAAAAAAAUUAAAAGUGGCUCAAUACAUUAACUAUUUUGACAUAUAAUAUUGCAUACAGGGUCUAAAAUAAUUUCGUUAUUUAUAGGAUACGUCAUCAACUCUCAUCGUUCUCUUUAUUUGGAUUGAGGAAAUAAUAUAAAAAACCAAUGGAACCUGUACCAACUCAUGGAAUGCAGGGAAAUAAAGAGGUAUAAAUUUUAAGGGACUAAAACACUUAAAUUCUUGAUAGGAGCAAUUUCUCUUUAAAACUUUAAUUGACAUUAAAUAAUAACAACAUGAGUACCAUUAGAAAUAUUAAAAAUAUUGAAUCCAGGAAUCCUCAAUUUCGUUCAGGAAAUGCGAAAGAAUUUUUUUUGAUAAUUCUGAUAAAGUUUUACAUAUACCUACAUUUUAAAAACUCAACUUAAACUUAAAAAAAACUUAAAAGAUACUACUUCAAAUUUGGCCGCAAACUUGAAUUAAGAUAUUACCUAGGGCUCAAACUCAUAUUCGUAACUAAAUUAGAAGUACUUAAGGAAAAAAACAAUAUUAAUAAUUGACGCUUUCAAAGUACCAAAACUACGCUACCGACUUUGAAUUUCUGUUGUCACAGUCUUCAAUAGGAACCGUUUAAGUGUUGAAGGUCUUAUACAUAAUCUAUAAUUAUGUGUGUAUGCGUUCUCGUAAAAUGUAAAACUAGGUGUGAAAGUGAAGUAAGUCUUUACCGCGUAAAAGAAAUCAAUGGUCAUCAGUUUGAAUCAUUCUGGAAGUCAUGAAUUUCGCAAAAUGAAUAGAAUGAAAUUGGUCAAUCUUAGAUGAAACCUUCAUUCGAACUCGAUGACAAACUUGAAUCUAAACAUAACCAGGAUACAUCACAUUCGUAGCCAAACUUUAAAGAAAAGAAAACUUAGAACAUGAUAUCCAGGAUAUUAGUUGACGCUUUUAAAUUAUUUUGUACUGACUUCCGAUUUACUUUAUAUUCAUUACGUCAAAGUCUUAACCGGAAACCGUUUAACACAUAAAUUGAAUAUUGAAAGUCCUGUACACUAUGUGUGAGUAAAUAUGAUCUUAUAAAAUGUAAAAUGGACUGUGAGUAUUGGAUUUAGUCUGAGGAGUGCCAUAUUAUCCGAAGAAAGGAUCAAUUUUAAACCUAUCACUUACAACAUUUAAAUACAGAAAUAAUGGUUAACAGAAAUUCUUCUCAUUAGAAGACCAGAAAUUUGGAAACUUAACAAACACUUAGAUGACAACUUCAUUCGAACUCGAUGACAAACUUGAAUCUAAACAUUACCAGAAUACAUCACAUUCGUAGCCAAACUUUAAAGAGAAGAAAGCUUAAAACAUGAUAUCCAGGAUAUAGUUGACGCUUUUAAAGUAUUUUGUACUGACUUUCGAUUUACUUUAUAUUCAUUACGUCACAGUCUUAACCGGGAACCGUUUAACACAUAAAUUGAAUAUUGGAAGUCCUGUACACUAUAUGUGAGUAAAUAUGAUCUUAUAAAAUGUAAAAUGGACUGUGAGUAUUGGAUUUAGUCUGAGGAGUGCCAUAUUAUCCGAAGAAAGGAUCAAUUUUAAACUUAUCACUUACAACAUUUAAAUACAGAAGUAAUGGUUAACAGAAAUUCUUCUCAUUAGAAGACCAGAAAUUUCGAAACUUAACAAAAUCUUAGAUGACAACUUCAUUCGAACUCGAUGACAAACUUGAAUCUAAAUAUUACCAGAAUGCAUCACAUUCGUAGCCAAACUUUAAAGAGAAGAAAACUUAGAACAUGAUAUCCAGGAUAUUAGUUGACGCUUUUAAAGUAUUUUGUACUGACUUCCGAUUUACUUUAUAUUCAUUACGUCAAAGUCUUAACCGGGAACCGUUUAACAAUUAAAUUGAAUAUUGAAAGUCCUGUACAUUAUGUGUGAGUAGAUAUGAUCUUAUAAAAUGUGGAAUAGACUGUGAGUAGUGGAUUUAGUCUGGGAGUGCCAUAUUAUCCGAAGAAAGGAUCAAUUUUAAACCUAUCACUUACAACAUUUAAAUACAGAAGUAAUGGUUAACAGAAAUUCUUCUCAUUAGAAGACCAGAAAUUUGGAAACUUAACAAACACUUAGAUGACAACUUCAUUCGAACUCGAUGACAAACUUGAAUCUAAACAUUACCAGAAUACAUCACAUUCGUAGCCAAACUUUAAAGAGAAGAAAGCUUAAAACAUGAUAUCCAGGAUAUAGUUGACGCUUUUAAAGUAUUUUGUACUGACUUUCGAUUUACUUUAUAUUCAUUACGUCACAGUCUUAACCGGGAACCGUUUAACACAUAAAUUGAAUAUUGGAAGUCCUGUACACUAUAUGUGAGUAAAUAUGAUCUUAUAAAAUGUAAAAUGGACUGUGAGUAUUGGAUUUAGUCUGAGGAGUGCCAUAUUAUCCGAAGAAAGGAUUAAUUUUAAACCUAUCACUUACAACAUUUAAAUACAGAAGUAAUGGUUAACAGAAAUUCUUCUCAUUAGAAGACCAGAAAUUUGGAAACUUAACAAAAUCUUAGAUGACAACUUCAUUCGAACUCGAUGACAAACUUGAAUCUAAACAUUACCAGGAUACAUCACAUUCGUAGCCAAACUUUAAAGAGAAGAAAAUUUAGAACAUAAUAUCCAGGAUAUAGUUGACGCUUUUAAAGUAUUUUGUACUGACUUUCGAUUUACUUUAUAUUCAUUACGUCACAGUCUUAACCGGGAACCGUUUAACACAUAAAUUGAAUAUUGGAAGUCCUGUACACUAUAUGUGAGUAAAUAUGAUCUUAUAAAAUGUAAAAUGGACUGUGAGUAUUGGAUUUAGUCUGAGGAGUGCCAUAUUAUCCGAAGAAAGGAUUAAUUUUAAACCUAUCACUUACAACAUUUAAAUACAGAAAUAAUGGUUAACAGAAAUUCUUCUCAUUAGAAGACCAGAAAUUUGGAAACUUAACAAACACUUAGAUGACAACUUCAUUCGAACUCGAUGACAAACUUGAAUCUAAACAUUACCAGGAUACAUCACAUUCGUAGCCAAACUUUAAAGAGAAGAAAAUUUAAAACAUGAUAUCCAGGAUAUAGUUGACGCUUUUAAAGUAUUUUGUACUGAUUUCCGAUUUACUUUAUAUUCAUUACGUCAAAGUCUUAAUCGGGAACCGUUUAACAAUUGAAUUGAAUAUUGGAAGUCCUGUACACUAUGUGUGAGUAAAUAUGAUCUUAUAAAAUGUAAAAUGGACUGUGAGUAUUGGAUUUAGUCUGGGGAGUGCCAUAUUAUCCGAAGAAAGGAUUAAUUUUAAACCUAUCACUUACAACAUUUAAAUACACAAAUAAUGGUUAACAGAAAUUCUUCUCAUUAGAAGACCAGAAAUUUGGAAACUUAACAAAAUAUUAGAUGACAACUUCAUUCGAACUCGAUGACAAACUUGAAUCUAAACAUUACCAGGAUACAUCACAUUCGUAGCCAAACUUUAAAGAGAAGAAAAUUUAGAACAUAAUAUCCAGGAUAUAGUUGACGCUUUUAAAGUAUUUUGUACUGACUUCCGAUUUACUUUAUAUUCAUUACGUCAAAGUCUUAACCGGAAACCGUUUAACAAUUAAAUUGAAUAUUGAAAGUCCUGUACACUAUGUGUGAGUAAAUAUGAUCUUAUAAAAUGUAAAAUGGACUGUGAGUAGUGGAUUUAGUCUGGGAGUGCCAUAUUAUCCGAAGAAAGGAUCAAUUUUAAACCUAUCACUUACAACAUUUAAAUACAGAAAUAAUGGUUAACAGAAAUUCUUCUCAUUAGAAGACCAGAAAUUUGGAAACUUAACAAAAUAUUAGAUGACAAUCUUCAUUCGAACUCGAUGACAAACUUGAAUCUAAAUAUUACCAGAGAUGCAUCACAUUCGUAGCCAAACUUUAAAGAGAAGAAAACUUAGAACAUGAUAUCCGGAUAUUAGUUGACGCUUUUUAAGUAUUUUGUACUGACUUCCGAUUUACUUUAUAUUCAUUACGUCAAAGUCUUUAUCGGGAACCGUUUAACACAUAAAUUGAAUAUUGGAAGUCCUGUACACUAUGUGUGAGUAAAUAUGAUCUUAUAAAAUGUAAAAUGGACUGUGAGUAUUGGAUUUAGUCUGAGGAGUGCCAUAUUAUCCGAAGAAAGGAUCAAUUUUAAACUUAUCACUUACAACAUUUAAAUACAGAAAUAAUGGUUAACAAAAAGUCUUCUCAUUAGAAGACUAGAAAUUUGGAAACUGAACAAAAUCUUAGAUGACAUCUUCAUUCGAACUCGAUGACAAACUUGAAUCUAAAUAUUACCAGAAUGCAUCACAUUCGUAGCCAAACUUUAAAGAGAAGAAAACUAAGAACAUGAUAUCCAGGAUAUUAGUUGACGCUUUUAAAGUAUUUUGUACUGACUUCCGAUUUACUUUAUAUUCAUUACGUCAUAGUCUUAAUCGGGAACCGUUUAACACAUAAAUUGAAUAUUGGAAGUCCUGUACACUAUGUGUGAGUAGAUAUGAUCUUAUAAAAUGUAAAAUAGACUGUGAGUAGUGGAUUUAGUCUGGGGAGUGCUUUAUUGUCCGAAGAAAGGAUCAAUUUUAAACUUAUCACUUACAACAUUUAAAUACAGAAAUAAUGGUUAACAAAAAGUCUUCUCAUUAGAAGACCAGAAAUUUGGAAACUUAACAAAAUAUUAGAUGACAUCUUCAUUCGAACUCGAUGACAAACUUGAUUCUAAAUAUUACCAGAAUGCAUCACAUUCGCAGCCAAACUUUAAAGAGAAGAAAACUAAGAACAUGAUAUCCAGGAUAUUAGUUGACGCUUUUAAAGUAUUUUGUACUGACUUCCGAUUUACUUUAUAUUCAUUACGUCAAAGUCUUAAUCGGGAACCGUUUAACACAUAAAUUGAAUAUUGGAAGUCCUGUACACUAUGUGUGAGUAGAUAUGAUCUUAUAAAAUGUAAAAUGGACUGUGAGUAUUGGAUUUAGUCUGAGGAGUGCCAUAUUAUCCGAAGAAAGGAUCAAUUUUAAACCUAUCACUUACAACAUUUAAAUACAGAAAUAAUGGUUAACAAAAAGUCUUCUCAUUAGAAGACUAGAAAUUUGGAAACUGAACAAAAUCUUAGAUGACAUCUUCAUUCGAACUCGAUGACAAACUUGAAUCUAAAUAUUACCAGAAUGCAUCACAUUCGUAGCCAAACUUUAAAGAGAAGAAAACUAAGAACAUGAUAUCCAGGAUAUUAGUUGACGCUUUUAAAGUAUUUUGUACUGACUUCCGAUUUACUUUAUAUUCAUUACGUCAAAGCCUUAACCGGAAACCGUUUAACACAUAAAUUGAAUAUUGAAAGUCCUGUACAUUAUGUGUGAGUAAAUAUGAUCUUAUAAAAUGUAAAAUGGACUGUGAGUAUUGGAUUUAGUCUGAGGAGUACCAUAUUAUCCGAAGAAAGGAUCAAUUUUAAACUUAUCACUUACAACAUUUAAAUACAGAAAUAAUGGUUAACAAAAAGUCUUCUCAUUAGAAGACCAGAAAUUUGGAAACUUAACAAAAUAUUAGAUGACAUCUUCAUUCGAACUCGAUGACAAACUUGAAUCUAAAUAUUACCAGAAUGCAUCACAUUCGUAGCCAAACUUUAAAGAGAAGAAAACUAAGAACAUGAUAUCCAGGAUAUUAGUUGACGCUUUUAAAGUAUUUUGUACUGACUUCCGAUUUACUUUAUAUUCAUUACGUCAAAGUCUUAACCGGAAACCGUUUAACACAUAAAUUGAAUAUUGAAAGUCCUGUACACUAUGUGUGAGUAAAUAUGAUCUUAUAAAAUGUAAAAUGGACUGUGAGUAUUGGAUUUAGUCUGAGGAGUACCAUAUUAUCCGAAGAAAGGAUCAAUUUUAAACUUAUCACUUACAACAUUUAAAUACAGAAAUAAUGGUUAACAAAAAGUCUUCUCAUUAGAAGACCAGAAAUUUGGAAACUUAACAAAAUAUUAGAUGACAUCUUCAUUCGAACUCGAUGACAAACUUGAAUCUAAAUAUUACCAGAAUGCAUCACAUUCGUAGCCAAACUUUAAAGAGAAGAAAACUAAGAACAUGAUAUCCAGGAUAUUAGUUGACGCUUUUAAAGUAUUUUGUACUGACUUCCGAUUUACUUUAUAUUCAUUACGUCAUAGUCUUAAUCGGGAACCGUUUAACACAUAAAUUGAAUAUUGGAAGUCCUGUACACUAUGUGUGAGUAAAUAUGAUCUUAUAAAAUGUAAAAUGGACUGUGAGUAUUGGAUUUAGUCUGAGGAGUGCCAUAUUAUCCGAAGAAAGGAUCAAUUUUAAACUUAUCACUUACAACAUUUAAAUACAGAAAUAAUGGUUAACAAAAAGUCUUCUCAUUAGAAGACUAGAAAUUUGGAAACUGAACAAAAUCUUAGAUGACAUCUUCAUUCGAACUCGAUGACAAACUUGAAUCUAAAUAUUACCAGAAUGCAUCACAUUCGUAGCCAAACUUUAAAGAGAAGAAAACUAAGAACAUGAUAUCCAGGAUAUUAGUUGACGCUUUUAAAGUAUUUUGUACUGACUUCCGAUUUACUUUAUAUUCAUUACGUCAAAGCCUUAACCGGAAACCGUUUAACACAUAAAUUGAAUAUUGAAAGUCCUGUACAUUAUGUGUGAGUAAAUAUGAUCUUAUAAAAUGUAAAAUGGACUGUGAGUAUUGGAUUUAGUCUGAGGAGUGCCAUAUUAUCCGAAGAAAGGAUCAAUUUUAAACCUAUCACUUACAACAUUUAAAUACAGAAAUAAUGGUUAUCAAAAAGUCUUCUCAUUAGAAGACCAGAAAUUUGGAAACUGAACAAAAUCUUAGAUGACAUCUUCAUUCGAACUCGAUGACAAACUUGAAUCUAAAUAUUACCAGAAUGCAUCACAUUCGUAGCCAAACUUUAAAGAGAAGAAAACUAAGAACAUGAUAUCCAGGAUAUUAGUUGACGCUUUUAAAGUAUUUUGUACUGACUUCCGAUUUACUUUAUAUUCAUUACGUCAUAGUCUUAAUCGGGAACCGUUUAACACAUAAAUUGAAUAUUGGAAGUCCUGUACACUAUGUGUGAGUAAAUAUGAUCUUAUAAAAUGUAAAAUGGACUGUGAGUAUUGGAUUUAGUCUGAGGAGUGCCAUAUUAUCCGAAGAAAGGAUCAAUUUUAAACUUAUCACUUACAACAUUUAAAUACAGAAAUAAUGGUUAACAAAAAGUCUUCUCAUUAGAAGACUAGAAAUUUGGAAACUGAACAAAAUAUUAGAUGACAUCUUCAUUCGAACUCGAUGACAAACUUGAAUCUAAAUAUUACCAGAAUGCAUCACAUUCGUAGCCAAACUUUAAAGAGAAGAAAACUAAGAACAUGAUAUCCAGGAUAUUAGUUGACGCUUUUAAAGUAUUUUGUACUGACUUCCGAUUUACUUUAUAUUCAUUACGUCAAAGUCUUAAUCGGGAACCGUUUAACACAUAAAUUGAAUAUUGGAAGUCCUGUACACUAUGUGUGAGUAAAUAUGAUCUUAUAAAAUGUAAAAUGGACUGUGAGUAUUGGAUUUAGUCUGGGGAGUGCUUUAUUGUCCGAAGAAAGGAUCAAUUUUAAACCUAUCACUUACAACAUUUAAAUACAGAAAUAAUGGUUAUCAAAAAGUCUUCUCAUUAGAAGACCAGAAAUUUGGAAACUGAACAAAAUAUUAGAUGACAUCUUCAUUCGAACUCGAUGACAAACUUGAAUCUAAAUAUUACCAGAAUGCAUCACAUUCGUAGCCAAACUUUAAAGAGAAGAAAACUAAGAACAUGAUAUCCAGGAUAUUAGUUGACGCUUUUAAAGUAUUUUGUACUGACUUCCGAUUUACUUUAUAUUCAUUACGUCAAAGUCUUAACCGGAAACCGUUUAACACAUAAAUUGAAUAUUGAAAGUCCUGUACACUAUGUGUGAGUAAAUAUGAUCUUAUAAAAUGUAAAAUGGACUGUGAGUAUUGGAUUUAGUCUGAGGAGUGCCAUAUUAUCCGAAGAAAGGAUCAAUUUUAAACCUAUCACUUACAACAUUUAAAUACAGAAAUAAUGGUUAACAAAAAGUCUUCUCAUUAGAAGACCAGAAAUUUGGAAACUGAACAAAAUCUUAGAUGACAUCUUCAUUCGAACUCGAUGACAAACUUGAAUCUAAAUAUUACCAGAAUGCAUCACAUUCGUAGCCAAACUUUAAAGAGAAGAAAACUAAGAACAUGAUAUCCAGGAUAUUAGUUGACGCUUUUAAAGUAUUUUGUACUGACUUCCGAUUUACUUUAUAUUCAUUACGUCAUAGUCUUAAUCGGGAACCGUUUAACACAUAAAUUGAAUAUUGGAAGUCCUGUACACUAUGUGUGAGUAAAUAUGAUCUUAUAAAAUGUAAAAUGGACUGUGAGUAUUGGAUUUAGUCUGGGGAGUGCUUUAUUGUCCGAAGAAAGGAUCAAUUUUAAACCUAUCACUUACAACAUUUAAAUACAGAAAUAAUGGUUAUCAAAAAGUCUUCUCAUUAGAAGACCAGAAAUUUGGAAACUUAACAAAAUAUUAGAUGACAUCUUCAUUCGAACUCGAUGACAAACUUGAAUCUAAAUAUUACCAGAAUGCAUCACAUUCGUAGCCAAACUUUAAAGAGAA